rnacentral:rRNA from 1 species
UACGUAGGGUGCAAGCGUUAAUCGGAAUUACUGGGCGUAAAGCGUGCGCAGGCGGUUAUGUAAGACAGGUGUGAAAUCCCCCGGGCUUAACCUGGGAAUUGCGUUGGAGACUGCAAGGCUGGAGUCUGGCAGAGGGGGGUAGAAUUCCACGUGUAGCAGUGAAAUGCGUAGAGAUGGUGGAGGAACACCGAUGGCGAAGGCAGCCCCCUGGGUCAAGACUGGACGCUCAUGCACCGAAAGCGUGGGGAGCAAACAGG